GAUGAACGCUGGCGGCGUGCCUAAUACAUGCAAGUCGAGCGAACGGACGAGAAGCUUGCUUCUCUGAUGUUAGCGGCGGACGGGUGAGUAACACGUGGAUAACCUACCUAUAAGACUGGGAUAACUUCGGGAAACCGGAGCUAAUACCGGAUAAUAUUUUGAACCGCAUGGUUCAAAAGUGAAAGACGGUCUUGCUGUCACUUAUAGAUGGAUCCGCGCUGCAUUAGCUAGUUGGUAAGGUAACGGCUUACCAAGGCAACGAUGCAUAGCCGACCUGAGAGGGGGAUCGGCCCCACUGAAACUGAGACACGGUCCAGCCCCCAACGGGGGGCAGCAGUAGGGAAUUUCCCGAAAGGGGGGAAAGCCUGCGGGGGCAACGCCGGGGGGGUGAUGAAGGUUUUCGGAUCGUAAAACUCUUUUAUUAGGGAAAAACAUAUGUGUAAGUAACUGUGACAAUCUUGACGGUACCAAAACAAAAAGCCCCGGCUAACUACGU
rnacentral:rRNA from 1 species